rnacentral:rRNA from 1 species
UACGUAGGGGGCAAGCGUUGUCCGGAUUUAUUGGGCGUAAAGGGCUCGUAGGCGGUCUGUCGCGUCGAAAGUGAAAACCCAGGGCUUAACCCUGGGCCUGCUUCCGAUACGGGCAGACUAGAGGUAUGCAGGGGAGAACGGAAUUCCUGGUGUAGCGGUGAAAUGCGCAGAUAUCAGGAGGAACACCGAUGGCGAAGGCAGGUCUCUGGGCCACUACUGACGCUGAGGAGCGAAAGCAUGGGGAGCGAACAGG